AGCAUAUCAAUAAGCGGAGGAAAAGAAACUAACAAGGAUUCCCCUAGUAACUGCGAGUGAAGCGGGAAAAGCUCAAAUUUAAAAUCUGGCGGUCUUUGGCUGUCCGAGUUGUAGUCUGGAGAAGUGUGUUCUGCGCUGGACCGUGUACAAGUCUCUUGGAACAGAGCGUCAUAGAGGGUGAGAAUCCCGUCUUUGACACGGACUGCCGGUGCUUUGUGAUGCGCUCUCAAAGAGUCGAGUUGUUUGGGAAUGCAGCUCAAAAUGGGUGGUAAAUUCCAUCUAAAGCUAAAUAUUGGCGAGAGACCGAUAGCGAACAAGUACCGUGAGGGAAAGAUGAAAAGCACUUUGGAAAGAGAGUUAAACAGUACGUGAAAUUGCUGAAAGGGAAACGCUUGAAGUCAGUCGCGUCGUUCGGAACUCAGCCUUGCUUUUUUGCUUGGUGCACUUUCUGAAUGACGGGCCAGCAUCGAUUUUGACCGUCGGAAAUGGUCUGGGGGAAUGUGGCACCUUAGGGUGUGUUAUAGCCUUCAGUUCGCACACGGCGGUUGUGGUUGAAGAACGCAGCGCGCCGCAAGGCAGGGGUUCGCCCACUUUCGCGCUUAGGAUGCUGGCGUAAUGGCUUUAAACGACCCGUCUUGAAACACGGACCAAGGAGUCUAACAUGCCUGCGAGUGUUUGGGUGGAAAACCCGAGCGCGCAAUGAAAGUGAAAGUUGAGACCUCUGUCGUGGAGGGCAUCGACGCCCGGACCUGACGUUCUCUGACGGAUCCGCGGUAGAGCAUGUAUGUUGGGACCCGAAAGAUGGUGAACUAUGCCUGAAUAGGGUGAAGCCAGAGGAAACUCUGGUGGAGGCUCGUAGCGAUUCUGACGUGCAAAUCGAUCGUCAAAUUUGGGUAUAGGGGCGAAAGACUAAUCGAACCAUCUAGUAGCUGGUUCCUGCCGAAGUUUCCCUCAGGAUAGCAGAAACUCGUAUCAGAUUUAUGUGGUAAAGCGAAUGAUUAGAGGCCUUGGGGUUGAAACAACCUUAACCUAUUCUCAAACUUUAAAUAUGUAAGAACGAGCCGUCGCUUGGUUGGACCGCUCGGCGAUUGAGAGUUUCUAGUGGGCCAUUUUUGGUAAGCAGAACUGGCGAUGCGGGAUGAAC
rnacentral:rRNA from 1 species